AAUGAACGCUGGCGGCAUGCCUAACACAUGCAAGUCGAACGAAGGCUUCGGCCUUAGUGGCGCACGGGUGCGUAACGCGUGGGAAUCUGCCCUCAGGUUCGGAAUAACAGCGAGAAAUUGCUGCUAAUACCGGAUGAUAUCGCGAGAUCAAAGAUUUAUCGCCUGAGGAUGAGCCCGCGUAGGAUUAGCUAGUUGGUGUGGUAAAGGCGCACCAAGGCGACGAUCCUUAGCUGGUCUGAGAGGAUGAUCAGCCACACUGGGACUGAGACACGGCCCAGACUCCUACGGGAGGCAGCAGUGGGGAAUAUUGGACAAUGGGCGAAAGCCUGAUCCAGCAAUGCCGCGUGAGUGAUGAAGGCCUUAGGGUUGUAAAGCUCUUUUACCCGGGAUGAUAAUGACAGUACCGGGAGAAUAAGCUCCGGCUAACUCCGUGCCAGCAGCCGCGGUAAUACGGAGGGAGCUAGCGUUAUUCGGAAUUACUGGGCGUAAAGCGCACGUAGGCGGCUUUGU
rnacentral:rRNA from 1 species